rnacentral:rRNA from 1 species
GUGGGGAAUCUUGCGCAAUGGGCGAAAGCCUGACGCAGCCAUGCCGCGUGAAUGAUGAAGGUCUUAGGAUUGUAAAAUUCUUUCACCGGGGACGAUAAUGACGGUACCCGGAGAAGAAGCCCCGGCUAACUUCGUGCCAGCAGCCGCGGUAAUACGAAGGGGGCUAGCGUUGCUCGGAAUUACUGGGCGUAAAGGGCGCGUAGGCGGACAGUUUAGUCAGAGGUGAAAGCCCAGGGCGCAACCUUGGAAUUGCCUUUGAUACUGGCUGUCUUGAGUACGGGAGAGGUGAGUGGAACUCCGAGUGUAGAGGUGAAAUUCGUAGAUAUUCGGAAGAACACCAGUGGCGAAGGCGACUCACUGGCCCGUUACUGACGCUGAGGCGCGAAAGCGUGGGGAGCAAACAGGAUUAGAAACCCGGGUAGUCC